rnacentral:lncRNA from 1 species
AGGCAAAGCCGGGAGAAACUGCUGAGACGAGUGAUGGCUACAGGGAUCCAGGCGUGUUUGCCUCCUGGAAAUGUGCAGAAAAAUCCGUGACCCAUCUGAACCCACGUGGAGAAAACUGGAGGAGGAGUGAACUCAGGAUGGAUGAAUAAUGCCAAAGAUAAACACGUAAUAAAUAGGGCCAGCUCCCGCCGAGGCUCCAGGACCGCCAUGCCCCGCUCUUUGAUGUCCCUGGGCAGAGGCAGACAGGAAGGGCCAGCUUCCAGAGAGCCAAAUACCACCCCCUGCCUGGUCUGGACCAGCAAAGUGCCUAGGGACAAUCUCUGAGCCUCUCCCGUGGAUCCAUGGCCACAGUUUCCCCGUCUCUGCAAAUGACCGAGAGAGGCUGGAGGGACGAUUUGACGAGAUGCUGUCCCUGCUCCAGCUCAGGGCAGCUCCAGCAUCAUUUGACCUGUGCACCUUCUACCCCAUCAGAGGUUCCAGCCCGAGCCCUGCAGGGGCCUGGAGUCACAGGAAGAGGGGCACAAUUUCCCAGCAGCCCCAUUGGAGGAACACAGCGAAGUUGUUGGAUGUCCAGGGCACCCUGGCAAGUGGUCCUCUACCCACAGAGCCAGUGAGCCCCCAAAACGUCAUCGUCUCCCCUGGGAACCACUGCCCACAGGUUGCACAUGGCCAUCCUGCUUCCUCACCUCCCAUUGCCCGUAGCUACCCUGCCUCCACCGGGAAUUGCACAUCUGCCCAUCUGUCCACCUUACCUGCCAUCAUCCGUCUCCCGCCCAGAAUCCACACCAGUCUCUUCCAGGAGCCCCUCCAGGAUGGCCCCCAGCGAUCCCCAUUCCAUAAAGGGCCCUGCAGUUCUGGUGAAGUGUCACCCCAGCUCACGAUGACCCAGUAGCUCCAAUGGCCCUUAUGAAGCAGCUCCUUUCCUUGGUUUUGAAGGCUCCUGAUGCUGGGUUCCUGGCCACCUUCUGACUCCCAGCCUGAACCUCGGCUCCGACCAGAUCAGCAACUUUCUGGACCUCUGUGCCCUUGAACAGACAUGCUGUUCAGAGGACUGGAAUUCUCUUCUUCUUCUUCUUUUUUUAGGGCUGCACCUAUGGCAUAUGGAAGUUCCCGGGCUAGGGGUCAAAUCAAAGCUGCAGCUGCCAGCCUACGCCACAGUCACAGCAAUGCCAGAUCCUUAACCCACUGAGCAAGGUCAGGGAUUGAACCCGAAUCUUCAUGGAUACUAGUCGGGUCCUUUAUCACUGAGGCACAGUGGGAACUCCUGGAAUUCUCUUCUAUGUCAUCGGGUCAUGUUCAUUCUUUGGGACUCAUCUGGGGCUUCCUCUCCUCCAGGGGGGUGUUCCUGGCCCCUAUGCCAGGGUCUGUCUGUCUGUCUGUCUGUGUGGACUGUCUGGGAGGGGCCAUGUGUCUCAUUUGUCUCUCAUCCUCCAGCCUGACUCAAGCUCUGCCUGAGAGGUGGGGUCACUGGUGCUGGUGGAGGACGGCUCGGUCCUAUUGCAUCCCACCCCUGCUCCAGCCUCAUGCCCCAGUCUCCCUGGGGCCCAUCUGCCUUUCCCUCUGUGCUCUCUGUGGGCCCCUGAUUUGAAGUCCUGCCCUCUGGGUCCCCAGCCUGCCUGUGCCUUCUCGUGGGGCAGAGCCUCAGUUCUCCCAUCUACAAAAUGGAAAGAACCUUAGCACGACGGUCCUGGGGCUGUUGGAAGGAUGAAGUGAAGGGUGAUUGUCAUGUCCUUGAAUGUCACAGGAGUAGAGUAGAGGUUACCCAUCACUGUCGCUGCUGUGGUCCUUGUUCUGUUGUCCCACUGGCCUGUGGUAAUUGCCUCCUGGCCUGGGUCUAGGUCUCCUAUCACUGGAGCCCUCUGCUCCCAGCUGCCCCCCAACUGGAGCCAUUUUGUUUUCACCUGGAACAUUCAGUGGCUCACCAUUGCCUCCCCCAGGAAGUAAAAACUCCAGCUCAUUUUCAAAGCCUCAUCAAUUGGUUUUCUGGACAUAGUGGCCCCAAGAAAGACCUUAAAGGAGAGAGAGGCUUCAUCCCCGCUGGCCCCUGCCCCACUCCCUAUAGGGAGCUGGGUGAUGGGUCUUCCCAGGGCUUCUGGCUCCCUCUGCAUCCUCACCAGUGCCUUGUGGCUGGUCCCCUCCCAGGGGCAUGGGGGACGGGGACGCUGGGUGCAGAGCCCUGGAGCCCCCACAGCUCUGCUCAUAGGCUCUGGAGUGAGGCCAGAAUCCACACGGAUCCUCGUCUCUGCAGGUCCCUGUCUUUCGAGGCUGAAUAUUACCCUGAUUGCGUUGUAGGGAAAAGAAGAGAACAUUUGUUCUUUUUUAAAAAAGAAUAACAUUUUUCUCUAUUUACAAAAGUAAUACAUGCUAACUGUGGAUAAUUUCGAAAUUAAGAUAAACCAAAGAGAAAAUUUGAAAUGCUCGCUCAUUCAUCCCUCAUUGGUAGCACUUGUUGAGCGCCUGAGCCUCUAGCCUCCAGGCUUUGUACCGGGCGUGCAGCAGCAACUCUACUUUGAGCCCAGCAAGAGGAACGCAGGACUCCGUGGUUUGCAACCUAGGUGCUUCCUUUCACCAGCAAAACGCAACCUUCUCUGCCACCCCAAGGCCUCCAUCCUCUGGUACCCAGAGUGGAGUGCCCCCCAGGGCAGCUGUUAGAAGCGCAGCAUCUCAGGAGUACCCUGGUGGCUCAGCGAGGGAAGGACCCGGCAUUGCCACUGCUUUGGCUCGGUGUGCUGCUAUGGCGUGGGUUCGAUCCCUGGCCCUGGAACUUCUGCACACCAUAGGAGCAACCAAAAAAAAAAAAAAAAAAGGGCAGUUUCUCAGCCCUGGGUCCCAGAAUCUCUGCAUUUCCUCAGGAUUCCCAGGAGGUUUCUAGGCACAGAUACAAGCCCAAAGCCCCCUUUCCAACAGCAGCUGAGUGCCAUGGUGUGGGUACAUCAUAAAUAGGGGCGCAGCGAUGGCAUGGCGGUAGUCAAAACACUGGGCGCCCUGUGGCUGCUUUCCAGGAUCGAGUACGAAGGAGUUUCCCUAAACUCUGCUUCCCCCACUGUCACUCCCCUUCCCUCCAGAACAUUCUGGGAGGAUAGGGACCAUUGUCAUCCCCAUUCUGCAGGUGAAUGAACUACGACUCUCUCCACGGUCCCAUAAAUAGUGGGGACCUAACCUGGCCUGGCCAGGCCCUUCCCUCUACGCCUGGCCUACUGGCCUUUGCUGUAAGUGAGUUUUUUGUCCAGAGAAUCAGCUCCUGUAGCCACAGUGUGGGUCUCACACCCGCCCCAGGCUGAGCGCAUGGCACUUUCUGGCUGGCCCUGAACCUGCCCGGUGGGACCAGUUUGCCCCGGUGACAGAUGAGGUGUGACAGCACCAGGCUGGCCUGGGUGGUUGGGGCAGCCUCACUCCACUGUGGGAACCUUGAGGGGGUGGUGGGCGGGGCUUCAGGAGCUGAUGGAAAUGGUGGAGGGGCUUCCAGGUCCAUGCGGAGUGGGGCUUGGGCCGGAAGAGAGGAGGGGCUGGAAAGGACACUGGCGGGAGGUCUUCCCCCGCAGUGGCAGGAAGCACGGGCAUGUCAGCGUGAAUCCUUCUGGGGGAAACCCUUGGCGGGGAGGAGAAUGCGGUGAUGGCAGCAGAUUCUAUUAAAAGCAACUCUCAUUACCGUACCGUUAAUUAUUAAUAGGAUGGGGCAUAUAAAAGAUGAGAAGACCCAGCUGGGCCAGACUCAAAUCUUGCCUCCGUAGCAAAUGGCUUUUGGUUCCCAUCCAGGAGGCCCAGUCAUGAAUGUAUCUGUUGGUUAUGCCAAACCAAGGCUGCCACGGCGGGACACAUACCACAUAUCUGCUUCAAAAAGAUAAAGGAAGGGAGCCCAGAGGAGGCCAACACGGGCCUCUGCCCAUUCUCCCAAGCUUAGCUUUUAGGCCUAGGUGAGCUGGGGGUCUUUCCUACAGACUCCAUCCUCCUCUGAGCACUGCCCAGACCUGGGGCUAUUAAGCCUCUAAGGAAAUCCAGAGAGGAACUUUCUCCAUGUAGCAGCAGAAACUAGUGAGAACAAGACCAAGAGAGAGAGAGAGAGAGACUUCACUCUUCUUUUGGCUCUCACCUGUCUUAUCUACACCGAACUCCUAUCCACCCCUCAGAGCCCAGCUCAGAUGGCCCGUCCUUCAGGCAGCCCCACUCAUGCAGCCUGUGCUAACAACCCAGGAUCCAGACACUGUCCCUGCCCUUGUGGGGGCUCCCAAUCUGACAGGCGUCCAGCCAGGUGACUCAUCAAAUAAUCAUCACAAACCGUGGUGACAAACAGCCAUGCUCUAAGGCAGGGAGGCGGAGACUGAGCACCAUGUGGGCAGGAAUCCUGGUGGUUCUAUCUUUCUCUCCUCUAGACUACCUGGUGCCUGGAGCAAAAGUAGGUUCUCGAUAAAUGUGCCUGAUUUCACAAACUGCUAAUGUGGGAGCCCCAAAACAAGCUCUUUGAGAUGAAGCGAUCCCUCGGGAAGUCGGCUUCGCACAGCAGAAGGAAGAAGGGGUGGGGCCUGGGGCUUUGCCCUAUUCCUCCACCUUAGCCGAACUGUCUCAGAUCAGUAGCUCAUUUAUCCUGACAAGCAGCGAAGGCCCUCCUUUUUUUUUUUUUUUUUUUUUUUUAAUAUAUGUGAAUGAGGGAGUUCCCCUCAUGGAGCAGUGGUUAAUGAAUCCGACCAGGAACCAUGAGGUUGCGGGUUCGGUCCCUGCCCUUGCUCAGUGGGUUAACGAUCCGGCAUUGCUGUGAGCUGUGGUGUAGGUUGCAGACACGGCUCAGAUCCCACGUUGCUGUGGCUCUGGCGUAGGCUGGUGGCUACAGCUCCGAUUCAACCCCCUAGCCUGGGAACCUCCAUAUGCCGUGGGAGUGGCCCAAAGAAAUAGCAAAAAGACAAAAUAAAUAAAUAAAUAAA